UUAAAUUGAAGAGUUUGAUCAUGGCUCAGAUUGAACGCUGGCGGCAGGCCUAACACAUGCAAGUCGAACGGUAACAGGAAGCAGCUUGCUGCUUCGCUGACGAGUGGCGGACGGGUGAGUAAUGUCUGGGAAACUGCCUGAUGGAGGGGGAUAACUACUGGAAACGGUGGCUAAUACCGCAUAACGUCGCAAGACCAAAGAGGGGGACCUUCGGGCCUCUUGCCAUCAGAUGUGCCCAGAUGGGAUUAGCUUGUUGGUGAGGUAACGGCUCACCAAGGCGACGAUCCCUAGCUGGUCUGAGAGGAUGACCAGCCACACUGGAACUGAGACACGGUCCAGACUCCUACGGGAGGCAGCAGUGGGGAAUAUUGCACAAUGGGCGCAAGCCUGAUGCAGCCAUGCCGCGUGUAUGAAGAAGGCCUUCGGGUUGUAAAGUACUUUCAGCGGGGAGGAAGGUGUUGUGGUUAAUAACCGCAGCAAUUGACGUUACCCGCAGAAGAAGCACCGGCUAACUCCGUGCCAGCAGCCGCGGUAAUACGGAGGGUGCAAGCGUUAAUCGGAAUUACUGGGCGUAAAGCGCACGCAGGCGGUCUGUCAAGUCGGAUGUGAAAUCCCCGGGCUCAACCUGGGAACUGCAUUCGAAACUGGCAGGCUUGAGUCUUGUAGAGGGGGGUAGAAUUCCAGGUGUAGCGGUGAAAUGCGUAGAGAUCUGGAGGAAUACCGGUGGCGAAGGCGGCCCCCUGGACAAAGACUGACGCUCAGGUGCGAAAACGUGGGGAGCAAACAGGAUUAGAUACCCUGGUAGUCCACGCCGUAAACGAUGUCUACUUGGAGGUUGUGCCCUUGAGGCGUGGCUUCCGGAGCUAACGCGUUAAGUAGACCGCCUGGGGAGUACGGCCGCAAGGUUAAAACUCAAAUGAAUUGACGGGGGCCCGCACAAGCGGUGGAGCAUGUGGUUUAAUUCGAUGCAACGCGAAGAACCUUACCUGGUCUUGACAUCCACAGAAGAAUCCAGAGAUGGAUUUGUGCCUUCGGGAACUGUGAGACAGGUGCUGCAUGGCUGUCGUCAGCUCGUGUUGUGAAAUGUUGGGUUAAGUCCCGCAACGAGCGCAACCCUUAUCCUUUGUUGCCAGCGAUUAGGUCGGGAACUCAAAGGAGACUGCCAGUGAUAAACUGGAGGAAGGUGGGGAUGACGUCAAGUCAUCAUGGCCCUUACGACCAGGGCUACACACGUGCUACAAUGGCGCAUACAAAGAGAAGCGACCUCGCGAGAGCAAGCGGACCUCAUAAAGUGCGUCGUAGUCCGGAUUGGAGUCUGCAACUCGACUCCAUGAAGUCGGAAUCGCUAGUAAUCGUGGAUCAGAAUGCCACGGUGAAUACGUUCCCGGGCCUUGUACACACCGCCCGUCACACCAUGGGAGUGGGUUGCAAAAGAAGUAGGUAGCUUAACCUUCGGGAGGGCGCUUACCACUUUGUGAUUCAUGACUGGGGUGAAGUCGUAACAAGGUAACCGUAGGGGAACCUGCGGUUGGAUCACCUCCUUACCUUAAAGAA
rnacentral:rRNA from 1 species